UUAGAAUGAAUGUAUGAGAAGAGAGGAGAAUAGAAUAGAUUGAAACUAAGGAGAAUAUGCAGGACAAGGUUGUAACACAACCUGGAGGUUUAAAUACUGAGAAGAGGAUGAAGGAAGCCAAGCUCACUGAUGUAGGAUAAGCAUGGGACUGGAGAAAAACAAGAUAUAUCUUCAAUUUUACUCUCCAUUCAUCAGGAUUAGAAAAUCAGAGUUUGUGGCCAAAUCUCAAUUCCUUAAACCUUCUUCAACCUCAACCACGCCUCUUCCGGACCUCUAAACUCAGUACAAAUAGUACCCAGGAGAUAUUUCUCGGAGAUCUUCUGAAGGAAUUUCCUUCCUCCAACACCGAUAUUAAG